rnacentral:tRNA from 1 species
GGUCCCGUGGCGGAAUUGGCAGACGCAGCGGUCUUUAAAACCGCGACCUUCCCAGGGUGUGCGGGUUCGAACCCCGCCGGGACCA